CAUCAUUGAAACACCUGUUCCCGUACGAACACGGAAGUUAAGCAACAUCGACUUUGGUCACUACCUACAUUGCUGACCCCUUGGGAAUAUCAGGUGCUGUAGG